UACGUAGGGUGCAAGCGUUAAUCGGAAUUACUGGGCGUAAAGCGUGCGUAGACGGUAGCGUAAGUCGGGUGUGAAAGCCCCGGGCUCAACCUGGGAAUUGCAUUCGAGACUGCUCUGCUAGGGUGCGGAAGAGGGAAGCGGAAUUUCCGGUGUAGCGGUGAAAAUGCGUAGAUAUCGGAAGGAACACCAGUGGCGAAAGCGGCUUCCUGGUCCAGCACCGACGUCAGGCACGAAAGCGUGGGGAGCAAACAGG
rnacentral:rRNA from 1 species